UACGGAGGGUGCAAACGUUGCUCGGAAUCAUUGGGCGUAAAGCGCACGUAGGUGGCCUGUUUAAGUCGGGUGUGAAAUCCCCUGGGCUCAACCCAGGAAGUGCACUCGAAACUGGCAGGCUUGAGUACUGAAGAGGAUCGCGGAAUUCCCCGGUGUAGAGGUGAAAUUCGUAGAUAUUGGGGAAGAACACCGGUGGCGAAGGCGGCGCCUGGUCCUUUUACUGACGCUGAGGCGCGAAAGCGUGGGGAGCAAACAGG
rnacentral:rRNA from 1 species